CUACGUAUUUUGUAAAAUUGUGAAGAAAAAAAAGAAAAAAAAAUUCUGUUCUUAUCAGUUUAAUAUCUGAUACGUCCUCUACCUGGGGACUACAUAUUAAAUUGAUUUUUGGAUCACGGAGCUGGAG
ensembl:snRNA U2 U2 spliceosomal RNA